GAUGAACGCUAGCGGCAGGCCUAAUACAUGCAAGUCGAGGGGCAGCGCGGUAGCAAUACUGGCGGCGACCGGCGCACGGGUGCGUAACACGUAUGCAACCUACCUUCAACUGGAGGAUAGGCCCGGGGAAACUCGGAUUAAUACUCCAUAACACAGGGAUCCCGCAUGGGAAUAUUGUUAAAGCUACGGCGGUUGAAGAUGGGCAUGCGUUCGAUUAGCUAGUUGGUGUAGGUAACGGCUCACCAAGGCUACGAUCGAUAGGGGGUCUGAGAGGAUGAUCCCCCACACUGGUACUGAGAUACGGACCAGACUCCUACGGGAGCAGCAGUAGGGAAUAUUGGUCAAUGGAUGCAAGUCUGAACCAGCCAUGCCGCGUGCAGGAAGAAGGCCUUUCGUGGGUUGUAAACUGCUUUUGCC
rnacentral:rRNA from 1 species